rnacentral:rRNA from 1 species
UCGGGAAUUUUGGGCAAUGGGCGAAAGCCUGACCCAGCAACGCCGCGUGAACGAUGAAGGCCUUAGGGUUGUAAAGUUCUUUUGUCAGGGAAGAUAAUGACGGUACCUGAAGAAUAAGCACCGGCUAACUACGUGCCAGCAGCCGCGGUAAUACGUAGGGUGCAAGCGUUAAUCGGAAUUACUGGGCGUAAAGCGUGCGCAGGCGGUUGUGUAAGUCAGAUGUGAAAUCCCCGGGCUCAACCUGGGAAUUGCAUUUGAGACUGCACGGCUAGAGUGUGUCAGAGGGGGUAGAAUUCCACGUGUAGCAGUGAAAUGCGUAGAUAUGUGGAGGAAUACCGAUGGCGAAGGCAGCCCCCUGGGAUAACACUGACGCUCAUGCACGAAAGCGUGGGGAGCAAACAGGAUUAGAUACCCACGUAGUCCCUGAGCGGGCUGGCAAGGCGCAU